UUUCUGGCUGACAACUGACGCUGAGGCGCGAAAGCGUGGGGAGCAAACAGGAUUAGAUACCCUGGUAGUCCACGCCGUAAACGAUGAUUACUGGGUGUAGGGAGUAUCGACUCUCUCUGUGCCGAAGCAAACGCGAUAAGUAAUCCACCUGGGGAGUACGGCCGCAAGGCUAAAACUCAAAGGAAUUGACGGGGACCCGCACAAGCAGUGGAGUAUGUGGUUUAAUUCGAGGCAACGCGAAGAACCUUACCAGGGAUUGACAUCCUGCGCUAGGCCUGGAGACAGGUUGUUCCUUCGGGACGCAGAGACAGGUGGUGCAUGGUUGUCGUCAGCUCGUGUCGUGAGAUGUUCGGUUAAGUCCGGCAACGAGCGCAACCCUUGUUGUCAGUUACCAUCAUUAAGUUGGGGACUUUGGCGAGACUGCCGUUGACAAAACGGAGGAAGGUGGGGAUGACGUCAAAUCAUCAUGCCCCUUAUAUCCUGGGCUACACUCGUACUACAAUGGGCGUUACAGCGGGCAGCCACACCGCGAGGUGGAGCGAAUCCCGAAAGGCGUCCUCAGUUCGGAUUGCAGGCUGCAACUCGCCUGCAUGAAGUCGGAAUUGCUAGUAAUGGCAGGUCAGCAUACUGCCGUGAAUACGUUCCCGGGUCUUGUACACACCGCCCGUCACACCAUGAGAGUCUGUAACACCCGAAGUCAGUAGUCUAACCUGAUUAGAUUAGGGGGACGCUGCCGAAGGUGGGAUAGAUAAUUGGGGUGAAGUCGUAACAAGGUAACCGUA
rnacentral:rRNA from 1 species